GACGAACGCUGGCGGCGUGCUUAACACAUGCAAGUCGAACGGAAAGGCCCUGCUUGCCGGGUACUCGAGUGGCGAACGGGUGAGUAACACGUGGGUGAUCUGCCCUGCACUUCGGGAUAAGCCUGGGAAACUGGGUCUAAUACCGGAUAGGAGCCAUUUUUAGUGUGAUGGUUGGAAAGUUUUUUCGGUGUAGGAUGAGCUCGCGGCCUAUCAGCUUGUUGGUGGGGUAAUGGCCUACCAAGGCGGCGACGGGUAGCCGGCCUGAGAGGGUGGACGGCCACAUUGGGACUGCGAGACGGCCCAGACUCCUACGGGAGGCAGCAGUGGGGAAUAUUGCACAAUGGGCGCAAGCCUGAUGCAGCGACGCCGCGUGGGGGAUGACGGCCUUCGGGUUGUAAACUCCUUUCGCUAGGGACGAAGCUUUUUGUGACGGUACCUAGAUAAGAAGCACCGGCUAACUACGUG
rnacentral:rRNA from 1 species